GAUGAACGCUGGCGGCGUGCCUAAUACAUGCAAGUCGAGCGAACGGAUAAGGAGCUUGCUCCUUUGAAGUUAGCGGCGGACGGGUGAGUAACACGUGGGUAACCUACCUAUAAGACUGGAAUAACUUCGGGAAACCGGAGCUAAUGCCGGAUAACAUUUGGAACUGCAUGGUUCUAAAGUAAAAGAUGGUUUUGCUAUCACUUAUAGAUGGACCCGCGCCGUAUUAGCUAGUUGGUAAGGUAACGGCUUACCAAGGCAACGAUACGUAGCCGACCUGAGAGGGUGAUCGGCCACACUGGAACUGAGACACGGUCCAGACUCCUACGGGAGGCAGCAGUAGGGAAUCUUCCGCAAUGGACGAAAGUCUGACGGAGCAACGCCGCGUGAGUGAUGAAGGUUUUCGGAUCGUAAAACUCUGUUAUUAGGGAAGAACAAAUGUGUAAGUAACUGUGCACAUCUUGACGGUACCUAAUCAGAAAGCCACGGCUAACUACGUGCCAGCCGCCGCCGUAA
rnacentral:rRNA from 1 species